rnacentral:rRNA from 1 species
UGAACCAGCCAAGUAGCGUGCAGGAUGACGGCCCUAUGGGUUGUAAACUGCUUUUAUAAGGGAAUAAAGUGAGUCUCGUGAGACUUUUUGCAUGUACCUUAUGAAUAAGGACCGGCUAAUUCCGUGCCAGCAGCCGCGGUAAUACGGAAGGUCCGGGCGUUAUCCGGAUUUAUUGGGUUUAAAGGGAGCGUAGGCCGGAGAUUAAGCGUGUUGUGAAAUGUAGACGCUCAACGUCUGCACUGCAGCGCGAACUGGUUUCCUUGAGUACGCACAAAGUGGGCGGAAUUCGUGGUGUAGCGGUGAAAUGCUUAGAUAUCACGAAGAACUCCGAUUGCGAAGGCAGCUCACUGGAGCGCAACUGACGCUGAAGCUCGAAAGUGCGGGUAUCGAACAGGAUUAGAUACCCUGGUAGUCCGCACGGUAAACGAUGGAUGCCCGCUGUUGGUCUGAAUAGGUCAGCGGCCAAGCGAAAGCAUUAAGCAUCCCACCUGGGGAGUACGCCGGCAACGGUGCAACUCAAAGGAAUUGACGGA